CUCCAUGGUCUUCUUCCGCUCUUCCCGCUGCUCCUCCCAGUCCUCGUCAGGCUCACUCAGGCUCAGGGAGUUGGGGAAGAGCAGGUAGAAGUAAAGGAUGGCAGCCAGGACCGCCCCCACGAUGGGCCCUACCCAGAAAACCUGGUGGAGACAGGGCAGGAGUCAGGGCGCUGAGCCCCAGACCUUGAAGACCACAUGCCCCCCACCCCACAGAGGACAGACCCACGGACCCUGAGAGGAGACAGACAUGCAGACUUCCAGACCUUCAGGGAGAAAGACUUCCUCCCACCUCGGGGACGAAUAUACUGACACACCACUCCCAGGGACAGAGACAUGGACCACAGACACCUAGACCCUCAAAGAAGGCAAACAGAUUCCCAGAGGGACAGGCUCCCUCCAACCACACCGGAAAGAGAAGCAAAUAAACCUUCAGAGGGGACACGUG
rnacentral:lncRNA from 1 species